rnacentral:tRNA from 1 species
CCUUCGAUAGCUCAGUUGGUAGAGCGGUGGACUGUAGACGGUUUGAAAUAGGCAUCCAUAGGUCGCUGGUUCAAAUCCGGCUCGAAGGA